rnacentral:misc_RNA from 1 species
GCCAACGUGGAAUCACCGAUGUACUGUAAAAUUACUCCUCAGCGUCACUUUAGAGACGAAGAGGACAUCCUCCCAACUCCCAAGUCCCGCCCCUAAACAAGUCACCAGGCCUUUUCCUUUCCUUUUCUUUGUCUCUCCCUCAUUCAAGACGACAUUUCUCUUCGAGUACUUUCGACCUCACCUCGAUGACAAUGAAUGCCAUGCAUGCGUUUCCCGCACUCACCUUAGUUCCUAAUGGACUGUCAUGGCCCAUGGGUUUUCUCUCCGACCCCAUUAUGAUUUUG